UGACAGGAGCAACCGCUCAGAGAUGAUACUUUUGCGGUGGUGUUUCACGCCACCGCAAAAGCUAAUUAAGAGAGGAAAGUCCGGACACCACGGGGUACGGGGCCAGAGAGAUCUGGAGCUAACGCUGCUCACGCAGCGAAACGCAUGAACAGUGCCACAGAAAAUAUACCACCUCAACUGAGGGGUGUGCAAACACCCCUCAGUUGAGGUAAGGGUGAAAAGGUGCGGUAAGAGCGCACCGCGCGGCCGAGAGGUUUGCGGCAGGGUAAACUCCCCCUGGUGCAAUUUCGAGCAGCUGCAGAUUUCUUCAGGGUUUCGGCCCGGCUGACCCCAGCCGAAAUCGUGCAGCGGGUAGAAAGCGAAGAGCUGCGGGGUAUAACCCGCAGACAAGACAAAUGGUUGCCAAAGGAUAUUUCGUUCUUACGAAAUCUCCGGGACAGAAUCCGGCUUAUGAAUGUCGUUAA
rnacentral:RNase_P_RNA from 2 species